rnacentral:rRNA from 1 species
AUUGAACGCUGGCGGAAUGCUUUACACAUGCAAGUCGAACGGCAGCACGGGUGCUUGCACCUGGUGGCGAGUGGCGAACGGGUGAGUAACAUAUCGGAACGUAUCCAAUAAUGGGGGAUAACGCAUCGAAAGGUGUGCUAAUACCGCAUACGCCCUGAGGGGGAAAGUGGGGGAUCUUCGGACCUCACGUUAAUGGAGCGGCCGAUGUCAGAUUAGCUAGUUGGUGGGGUAAAGGCUCACCAAGGCGACGAUCUGUAGCUGGUCUGAGAGGAUGAUCAGCCACACUGGAACUGAGACACGGUCCAGACUCCUACGGGAGGCAGCAGUGGGGAAUUUUGGACAAUGGGCGCAAGCCUGAUCCAGCCAUGCCGCGUGAGUGAAGAAGGCCUUCGGGUUGUAAAGCUCUUUCGUAAGGGAAGAAAACUUAGCUCUUAAUACGGGCUGAGGAUGACGGUACCUUGAUAAGAAGCACCGGCUAACUACGUGCCAGCAGCCGCAGUAAAAC